rnacentral:rRNA from 1 species
AGCUCCAAUAGCGUAUAUUAAUGUUGUUGCAGUUAAAAAGCUCGUAGUUGGAUUCCUGACCUGGGGUAGCCGGUCCACCUUGCAAAAGGUGCGCACUGAGCGGCCUCGGUCAUCCUUGAGAAGAGCGGUCCUGGCAUUCAGUUGUCGGGGUCGGGAUUCUCGACGUUUACUGUGAAAAAAUCAGAGUGUUCAACGCAGGCUUACGCCUUGAAUACAUUAGCAUGGAAUAAUGAGAUAGGACCUUGGCGGUCUAUUUUGUUGGUUUGCACGCCGAGGUAAUGAUUAAAAGGGACGGUUGGGGUUCUUCGUAUUCAAUUGUCAGAGGUGAAAUUCUUGGAUUUAUGGAAGACGAACUGCUGCGAAAGCGUCGAACAAGGACGUUCUCAUUAAUCAAGAACGA